UUUGCCAGGACAGUCAGUCAGAAGACAUUGGACGUUUUGGGGUUUCCAGUCUCUGCUCAGAGGUGUCCCUUUCUGUCUGCCUCCUGUGUGAGGGAAACUGAAAUCCGCAGCCAAGCCUCUGGUCAAAAGUCAUGAGGCAAAUAAAAUCCCAUGUGAAAAUAGUCUCUUGAAAGAAUAUGUUGUGUGUUGUUUGGUUUUAGAGCCUGCCAUUUUCAUCUUUGAUACUUUCAAACUUUUAUCCAAAACGCAGAGCAAAAUACGUGUUUUCAUUAGUGGAAGCUGAGAUUAACAUCUAAUCAUCUGCUUUCAGAAGCCAAGGUCUUAAGAACACUGAAUAUUUCCAAUUAGUGAUAAAAAGAGAAGUUUGGACAAUAGCUUUCUUUGGAGUGCAGCUUUGAAGAAGUCUGACUGGGGGAAAACGCCUCAAGACCAGUGUAGCAGUUUGUGAAGAGACAAAAUACUUGAAAAGGAUGAAACUACAAAAAACAAGACUGCAUGGAGGCAGUUGAAGUAGAUACCAUAGCUUGCUCCUGUUUAUAGGUCUCAGAAGCUAUUUGACUGGUAACAGCUGAAGCACACUUAAAUCAGAGGGAGAGGCUGGAAAAAGCUUUGUCACACAGAGUUCUGCCCAGGUGUGGCUGUAGGAUUACAUUCGACAUUGGUCUUCCAGAGAGAGAGGAGUGUUCUGGUUUUGUAUUUCUUAGUUCACCAGCCACUGCUGGAGAAUGCAUUGCUUGUGUUUUAGCCACUUCAGCACAGCUGUUAUCUCUUCUCAUCUCCAUUGCUCUGUCUAUUCUUCAUUCUUGAGGUCAUCUUUCUCAUUCCUCACUCUCCAGUUGCCAUGAUUGAGUCUAUAAUUCAAUGGUGUGGGGUAAGGUUGCAGGAACAGCACCCAGAGCAGCAUAGAGCCUGUGGAGAUGCCUUACAAAGCAAACUAAGGAGCAAUAUGCUUUUUUUCAAGAAGUGCCUGGAGAGCCUGGCCUUCCCUCAUCAGUCACCGCUUUGAUCACCUGCGUGUAGCCUGCUGCUCCCACACACCAACUCCUGUGCUAUGUCAGUCACAUUGGAGGAGUUGGAAGGAAGAAAGAUGCUGAUGAGUCUGUGAAGAGCACAUCUGUGAUGACAGAAGAAGAAUCCCUGUACUGUAGCUAUAAGCAGCUCUAUAUACCUAUCUGUGGUGGGAAAGGCUCCUGCAGAGCAGCAAUAUAUCCCACUCAUUUCAAUUAAAUAUUCUAAGGGAGUUAAGAGCGGUGUUUGGAGUUGAACCUAAAAUACCACUUUUAAGAGGUACAUAUUGCUGCGUUAAUCACAGUGAAAGUUCUUACACCCCCCACCCUGCCUCAUUUCCUUCCCUGGGGGAGGAAAUAUCCCAGCAGAAACACAAAGAACAGGAGGAAGAAACUCAGUGUUGGAAUGGUACAGGCCUUUGGCUUCUGUGCCAGGGGAAGCUGUGACACGACAUUUGAAAGUUUCUCAGGAUCCCAGCUGACAUGAAAGUGUAGGAGAAUGAUUCAGAGACCCUGGUGUGGAGAGCGUGCCUCAGCCAGAUCCUAGCCCACAUGUGGAAAGUUCCUGGAGCAGUUCCUGCUCCUUUCUUUCCUCUUCAUCACCAAGAGGGUAUCCUGAGACAGGUCUGUGGCUUAGCAGACCUUCCUCUGUAUAACACAGAAAGGAAAAAGAGAACUGGGAAAGGGACAAUGACACCAUGCUUGGGAGAUGUUUCAGUAGUUGAGCACUGAUUUGGAACCUUCUAUUUCAUGCUUUCAUGAGAGCCAACUAAUUUAAUGCAGUCCAAAUAAGCAUACUUCUAUUGAGCAAUCUGGCAAAUCAAUGGUUAAAUACAACGCAUCUCACUUGUGUCAGAAGACAUUAUUAUAAUAGAAGUAUGCAUUUAUCAUACCUAGACAACUUCAGAGUUUCCCAAAAGUAGAGAAGAGAUGUAACAGUUCAGCAAUGAAAACUGACAAAUUUGUAAACACUCACAAGAAAAAAAAAAAAAAAAAAAAGGCAACCUUAAAUACAGCUGUGAUGAUAUCAACCACGUUACUGAAGUACAGUACGUUUUGCUUUAGAGGAUGGGGCAGGAAGUCCAGAUCUGAAUAAUAGGAAGGAACUCUUUCAUUAAGGGGCUGGUUUUUUGAUGGUAAUCAUAUGAAGCUGCUUAGGCAGAGCUGAAAUACUACAAAAUAGAGAAAAUCAUGGAGAGAUGGGUUAGUGGUCAAAGUUGCACUAUGAGCAUAAGGAACCGUUUGAUUCCUCUUGUCAGAUGCAUGUGUGUAAACAUAGGGUCAUAGAAUGGAUUGGGUUGGAAGGCAGCUACCUUAAAGAUCACCUAGUUUCAACCCCCUGUGUCUUACCACCACCACCACUGUACACACAG